rnacentral:rRNA from 1 species
AACGAACGCUGGCGGCAUGCCUAACACAUGCAAGUCGAACGAGACCUUCGGGUCUAGUGGCGCACGGGUGCGUAACGCGUGGGAACCUGCCCUUAGGUUCGGAAUAACUCGCCGAAAGGGGUUAUAAUACCGGAUAAUGUCCUCGGACCAAAGAUUUAUCGCCUUUGGAUGGGCCCGCGUUGGAUUAGCUAGUUGGUAGGGUAAAUGCCUACCAAGGCGACGAUCCAUAGCUGGUCUGAGAGGAUGAUCAGCCACACUGGGACUGAGACACGGCCCAGACUCCUACGGGAGGCAGCAGUGGGGAAUAUUGGACAAUGGGCGAAAGCCUGAUCCAGCAAUGCCGCGUGAGUGAUGAAGGCCUUAGGGUUGUAAAGCUCUUUUACCCGGGAUGAUAAUGACAGUACCGGGAGAAUAAGCUCCGGCUAACUCCGUG